rnacentral:rRNA from 1 species
AUGGCCUUCUUUCAGAUGCCUGACAAUGUUUGCAGGGCAGACCUCGCACCACAAUCCUCCCCAACGGCUCUUGUUUCGAUCUCGGGAGGCUCUAUCUCUUCGAGCAUUGUGGAGGCGGAGGUUGCUAAGAUCGCUCAAUAUCAGCAACAGUGGACGUGGGAGGCUAUCCCUCAUGGCCAGAAUGCUUUUAUCAUGUCUUUUCCCAGUGACGAGGUGCUCCUGAGAGUUACUGGUUUCACGGUCUUCAUCAAUUCGCAUAAAGUCACUUUGGAGUUCAAGGCUUGUCAUUCCGAGGAGAUUCCGAAUCGUUUUGAGCUUAUUCCAGUUUGGGUGCAUGUACACGGAGUUCCUCACGCUCUCCGACAUUUCUUGGGUCUCUGGGCAGUUGGCUCUGUUAUUGGCGCCACUCUUGACGUCGACCUCCUUUGCUUGCGCCGCCGUGGUAUUGUGAGGAUUCAGGUUGGCGUGCUUAAUCUUGAUGCUUUUAAGAUGAGCCCUGUCAACUCCCUCUCGUCGGAUGUGGUUGUUCAGAAGAAGGGCUAUGAAUUCCGGUACACUCUGGAAGAUGAUGAUUUCCGUGUGGACGCUGAUUUUGUGCCUCGCGUUUGGGAGCAUGGCGAUGAUACGGAAGGGGACAAGGAGCAGGAUCGAGAGGACACUUCAAGGGCUGAUGACAAGAGCAAGAGGCCGAAAGCGUCUUCGUCGUCAGCUAACACGGCGGCAUCAUCUUCCUUGGGAGGAGUGGUUCCGAUGCAAAUCACCUCUUCCACGACCGUUCCUGCCAGUACACAUCCAUGCUUGGCAUCGCAGCCUUUGUCGGGGGACCCGCCAGCGGCAACGGAGCUCGUGCCGCCCCAGAACCCUCCCUCGCUUGCCAGCUCUGCACCGCCUCCACCACCUCAACCGGAUGCUUCGCCCAUGUCAGCUAUUCGGACAUGGGUUGAUGGGCCUGCGGCGCCCUUGGCGAUGGGAUCACCGUUGGAGGCUGCUUUGGAGCAUCUAACGACACCGACAUCGGCUUCUUCUGGUCGUCGGGGUGUGAUUUUCUCCCCGGCGGUGCGUGCAGAUCAUGACAUGGCCUUGGCGACGCUUCGGGUGCUGUCUCCUACGCCGCCGUCGCAGUACGAGGAGGCUGCUCCUACGAACGCUGUCAUGGAGGAUGAGCUGCAGCUUUCAUGGUCUCCCGCAGCGUCGACGGGGCCGACGCUGUCUCCUGCGUCGCCGCUGCGGGAUGAGGAGGCUGCUCCUUGUAUCGCUGUUAUGGAGGAUGAGCUGCAGCGUUCUAGGUCUCCCGCUGCUACGCCGGAGCCAUCUACACCACCUUUAUGGCCCUCGGGGAUGCGGGUUGCUUUGGAGUUUACUACUUCACCGCCUAGACGUAGCGGCCGCCAUGUUGUUGGGGCUGAUGGGGCCUCUGCCACUGAUGAGGAUUCCAUGCAGAGGGCCAUGCGUAGAACGGCAUCGCGGAACCUCGACUUUGAUGGUAAUUCAUAUAUGCUUGCGAUGGCUCCGUAUGUGGUCUAUCCUGCAGAGGCCGGAGGACAGAGACCUUUUUAUGAUGGCUUCUACCCGGUUGGAGUGCUCGGCCAGGGACAUUUUUUACCCCCAUGGAUGGCGGUGUGA